rnacentral:rRNA from 1 species
UGCCUUUAGUUGCCACCAGGUCAAGCUGAGCACUCUAAAGGGACUGCCGGUGAAAAACCGGAGGAAGGUGGGGAUGACGUCAAGUCCUCAUGGCCUUAAUGUCCAGGGCUACACACGUACUACAAUGGCCGGUACAAUGAGUCGCAAACCCGCGAGGGGGAGCCAAUCUCAAAAAACCGCUCUCAGUUCGGAUUGCAGUCUGCAACUCGACUGCAUGAAGCUGGAAUCGCUAGUAAUCGCUGAUCAGCAAGCAGCGGUGAAUACGUUCCCGGGCCUUGUACACACCGCCCGUCACAUCACGAAAGCCCGUUGUACUAGAAGCCGGUGAUUCGACCGCAAGGAGAUAGCCGUCCAAGGUAUGACUGGUGAUUGGGGUG